rnacentral:rRNA from 1 species
GAUUGCAGGCUGCAACCCGCCUGCAUGAAGUCGGAAUUGCUAGUAAUCGCGGAUCAGCAUGCCGCGGUGAAUACGUUCCCGGGCCUUGUACACACCGCCCGUCACACCAUGGGAGCCGGUAAUACCCGAAGUCAGUAGUCCAACCUCGUGAGGACGCUGCCGAAGGUAGGAUUGGCGAUGGGGUGAAGUCGUAACAAGGUAGC